AAGUCGUAACAAGGUUUCCGUAGGUGAACCUGCGGAAGGAUCAUUACCGAGUUGUCGACACGAGUUGUUGCUGGCCCUCAAACGAGGGCAUGUGCACGCUCUGUUCACACAUCCACUCACACCUGUGCACCCUCUGUAGUUCUAUGGUCUGGGGGACACACCGGCUUCCUCCUGUAGUUCUGCGUCUUUACAAAUACACCGUGGUGAAGUCUUAUGGAAUGUUUGCCGCGUUUAACGCAAUACAAUACAACUUUCAGCAACGGAUCUCUUGGCUCUCGCAUCGAUGAAGAACGCAGCGAAAUGCGAUAAGUAAUGUGAAUUGCAGAAUUCAGUGAAUCAUCGAAUCUUUGAACGCACCUUGCGCCCUUUGGCUAUUCCGAAGGGCAUGCCUGUUUGAGUAUCAUGAACACCUCAACUCUCAUGGUUUGCCAUGAUGAGCUUGGACUUGGGGGCUUUGCUGGUGUGCAGCCAGCUCCUCUCAAAUGAAUCAGCUUGCCAGUCUUUGGUGGCGUCACGGGUGUGAUAACUAUCUACGCUUGUGGGUCGUCUGCCAGGUAACCUUCAGUGAUGGAGGUUUGCUGGAGCUUAGAAACGUCUCUCCUCAGUGAAGACAACUUUUGAACGUUCGAUCUCAAAUCAGGUAGGACUACCCGCUGAACUUAA
rnacentral:rRNA from 1 species